GUCAUCAAUAUGCUCAACUUCAAGACCAAUGAACCAUGCACCAAGCGAGACAUCUUCAUUAGCAUAUUUAUGCAAAAUAGGCCUGCAGUCAUAAUUAGGAUCCACAUGAAAUUUCUUGAGCAGACAAUAUUCCAUCAUAAUUCUUACUGGUUAUAUAAACAUGGACUGAUCCCUGAGCUGAAAUUUCAUAUCAGUAUCAAUUUAAGUUGUCAUGGAAAAAGUUUCCUGUGUUAAUCAAAGCAUGACUUAGAAAUAGGUCCGAUUCAAUUUAACAAAAUUAAAUUAAUAAACUCUAUUAAGGUUUAUAUCUUCAGUUGAUUUGGGACUAAGCCACCAUCAUUGAGACUGUGAUUAUAUGGCAACUCUUGGAUAGAGGUGACCACAAUAUUUUUUUAAAACUUCCCCUUCGAGCCCAGGGCUACCGGCUUGAAACACGACAAAUGGCAGUGAACCAACAAUGGAUUUAAGAGAGACUUUUAUACCAUCUUAAAAUACAAAUUUAAAGCUUAAUUCACCUUUACAAAACUAUCUUAUAAGAUGAAAGCACCCCAAACUUUUAUAAGUUUUAUUCAAGUCAUGUUUCUAGUCAAUAUGAAACUAAAUUGUCACCUUAGACACUGCAAUUAAGACAGCUUCAAAGAGAACACAACUAAAACGGAAUAGGGUUGAUCACAACUAAGACAGCUUUCCAACAUCAUGCAAAAU
rnacentral:lncRNA from 1 species